GUAAGAUUACAGGGGUUUUCAUUGUUCUCUGUUAAACUACAUGGUAGUAACCCUAAACAUACCUAGCAUAACAAACAGCCCACAUCUGUAGAGCAAUUAUAAAUUUUUAUAAUUCUUGCACAUACAAAGCUUUUUUACUUAUAAUAGGGAAUACUUGAAUUACUAUGUAGCAAUUAGAUUGAAUUACCGUAGUACAUAUUGCUUGAAAAAUAAUUCGCAUACUUUAAAAUUAAAUGUGGGUCUGCCUAAUGCCCUGGUUGAAAGAUUACUGAGAUAAAUAAAGUAUAGCCAGAUGUUAAACCUUUGUUUGUUUAUUUAUUUGUAUUUGUUUUCUUGUAGAAGACGAUGUCACCGAUAUUUGGACUGCAACAAUUCAUAUGAUUUUGUGUGCGUAAUUCGUCUACAACUCAUGUGCCAUUCAAGUAUCUUUGUUGUUCACUACGGGUGCAGGGAUUUGAAGAAAGCACAUCAGCACAUUCCGUGUUGAUAUCUGGAAUUGACUUUCCUGACUUUCAUAAAUUUGGGAUCCAUUUUUCCACCAGUCUUCGCCAAUAUUCGGGCGACUACAAAGGCACGUCUUCAAUAGCAUUUUUUAACUACAUUACAUGGUCAACUGUAGGCGAUGGAGGGUUUUUUAUUUUAAAACAUAAAGUUUGUACAAAGUAUCUUGGGUGAGUUUAGAAAAAGUGAUUGGUGAUUUAGUUGGGAAGUCUAUACUCGAUUCAAUGGAUACUGCAUAUAAUGUGGUGAUAUUUUUUACGGUUAUGUUCUUAAUAACCACAUUCAUUGCUUGUUUCUUAGAACUUGUUUUGCAGCCAUUCUUAAGAAAUGAAAAGCCUCUGAAAUCUCCGUUUCACUACAUUGUAAUAUAUGUAGGGGCAAUGGUACUCAGAGGUUUUUACUUGCAUAGUAGAGAACUAGAACAAAUAUCGCAACCACGACUGAGAGGACACUGUCAAAUUGUCUAAAACGUACCAUAUGUCAGAAUGACAAAAAUCUAUGCAAUACCACCGGGAAUUUACGCUGUCACAUAAAAACGAAUAGCAGUGAGACAAAAACUAACGCAAAAUGGUUAAAGCCAGGUAUUGUUUAUUGCCUAUUUAUUCACUCGCUACAAAACGAUACUUCCGCAAUUGAAGGAAAUUUUUUUUUCAACACCAUGAAAAGCGACGAAAAUUACUACGCACUAGGAGUACAAGGUUUGAUGUUUUCAGUCGGGCACAUGACGAUGUUCGUCACUAUCAUGUUCUACAUACAAACUGAAUCUUCUGAGUCUUCGAAAGGCACGGUUUUUAUCUGGACGAUGAUUUUGUUCCAUUUGGCAGAUAAAAUAAAGCACGGUAAAAAAGCUAUUUUCAGCAAUGCUACUUCACUCACGCAUUACACCACAGUAUUCUUUCUCGCGGCCUUUAUUAUUGCGGCUAUGAACUCUGCACUACGCUACAAAUAUACAGAAUACUCUUUAAAAUAAAAUAUGUGCUUUAGAA